rnacentral:rRNA from 1 species
UACGAAGGGAGCUAGCGUUGUUCGGAAUUAUUGGGCGUAAAGGGCGCGUAGGCGGUUUCGCAUGUCCGAUGUGAAAGCCCACCUCUUAAAGGUGGAAUUGCAUCGGAAACUGCGAGACUAGAGUGCCGGAGAGGGUGGUGGAAUUCCUGGUGUAGAGGUGAAAUUCGUAGAUAUCAGGAGGAACACCGGUGGCGAAGGCGGCCACCUGGACGGUUACUGACGCUGAGGCGCGAAAGCGUGGGGAGCAAACAGG